CAAUAAACCUAAUCAGUCUACUCUUAACCCAAUUAAAAAACAAACCACCGUUUUAAACACCGUUUCAGUCGCGUGUUGCAGAGCGCAGAACCUUCCACCGACACGUGUCAUACCCACAGAACCUUCUUCUUCACCUCAUCUUCGAAGAUCCCCUCAGUAAUGGCGUCGUCAACUACUUUGAUUUGUGAUACCGAAGCCUGGAAGGAUUUGAAGGGACAUGUAGAAGAUAUUAAGAAGACUCAUUUGCGUGAUUUGAUGAGUGAUGCCAACAGAUGCCAGUCUAUGAUGAUGGAAUUUGACGGGCUGUUCUUGGAUUAUUCUCGUCAGCGUGCAACUAUUGAGACGAUGGACAAGCUUUUGAAAUUGGCAAAGG